UUAACACAUGCAAGUCGAACGGGAUCCUUCGGGAUUUAGUGGCGGACGGGUGAGUAACGCGUGAGAAUCUGCCCUUAGGUUGGGGACAACAGUUGGAAACGACUGCUAAUACCCAAUGUGCCGAGAGGUGAAAGGUUAACUGCCUGGGGAUGAGCUCGCGUCUGAUUAGCUAGUUGGAGUGGUAACGGCACACCAAGGCGACGAUCAGUAGCUGGUCUGAGAGGAUGAUCAGCCACACUGGGACUGAGACACGGCCCAGACUCCUACGGGAGGCAGCAGUGGGGAAUUUUCCGCAAUGGGCGAAAGCCUGACGGAGCAAGACCGCGUGAGGGAGGAAGGCCUAUUGGUUGUAAACCUCUUUUGAUAGGGAAGAACACAAUGACGGUACCUAUCGAAUCAGCAUCGGCUAACUCCGUGCCAGCAGCCGCGGUAAUACGGAGGAUGCAAGCGUUAUCCGGAUUUAUUGGGCGUAAAGCGUCCGUAGGUGGCAAACCAAGUCAGUUGUUAAAGCGUAGAGCUUAACUCUAUAAGGGCAAUUGAAACUGGUUAGCUAGAGUGCGAUAGGGGCAAGGGGAAUUCCCAGUGUAGCGGUGAAAUGCGUAGAUAUUGGGAAGAACAUCGGUGGCGAAGGCGCCUUGCUGGGUCUGCACUGACACUGAGGGACGAAAGCUAGGGGAGCGAAAGGGAUUAGAUACCCCUGUAGUCCUAGCCGUAAACGAUGGAUACUAGGCGUUGUCCGUAUCGACCCGAGCCGUGCCG
rnacentral:rRNA from 1 species